CAUGAAUGUCAGCAGUGCAGCUCCAGUCUGCCAGAAGGUCAACACAGAAAAAAAGUCUGUCUCACAUGAAUGAAGAGGUGGCAUGGAAUAGAAUUAAGGACGGAAAGAGUUUUGGGAUUUAACGUAUUCCCUCUUACAGGGAGUUUCAUCACGUUGUCAUGAAAAUAUUCAACAAGUACCCGACCCGAACGGAGAGAAAAUAAAUUGAUAUGGAUGCGAGAACCUGUCUGAACAGCCUGUCUGCAGAACCCGGGGAUUUGAUUUGGCAAAAGAGGCAGCCCUUUAAGUGUACCCAAUUACGGUUGAUCAGUGAUUCACAUUCAGACCUUUCGCAAAACCGCAUUUCGCACAUUAAGCUGGAGAGCCUCAGGGUGUGAGCGUCAUGGACGCCAGGAAACGGUCCCUUUU